rnacentral:rRNA from 1 species
UUUAUGGAGAGUUUGAUCCUGGCUCAGGAUGAACGCUGGCGGCGUGCCUAAUACAUGCAAGUCGAGCGAACAGAUAAGGAGCUUGCUCCUUUGACGUUAGCGGCGGACGGGUGAGUAACACGUGGGUAACCUACCUAUAAGACUGGAAUAACUCCGGGAAACCGGGGCUAAUGCCGGAUAACAUGUUGAACCGCAUGGUUCUACAGUGAAAGACGGU